rnacentral:rRNA from 1 species
CAAGUCAGAUGUGAAAGCCUUCUGUUCAACGGGAGAAUUGCAACUGAAACUGCUAAUCUUGAGUAUAGGAGGGGAGAAUGGAACUUCUGGUGGAGCGGUGAAAUGUGUAGAUAUCAGAAGGAACGCCGGCGGCGAAAGCGAUUCUCUGGCCUAUUACUGACACUCAGUGUGCGAAAGCUAGGGGAGCAAACGGGAUUAGAUACCCCGGUAGUCCUAGCCGUAAACGAUGGGCACUAAGUAGAGGGGAUUACCUAUGUUCUCUCUGCCGUAGCUAACGCAUUAAGUGCCCCGCCUGGGGAGUACGGCCGCAAGGCUAAAACUCAAAAGAAUUGACGGGGGCUCGCACAAGCGGUGGAGCAUGUGGCUUAAUUCGAUGCAACGCGAAAAACCUUACCGGGGCUUGACAUGAUAGAAGUAGGAACCUGAAAGGGGGACGAACGGUAUCCAGUCCGUAGCUAUUACAGGUGUUGCAUGGCUGUCGUCAGCUCGUGUCGUGAGACGUUGGGUUAAGUCCCCUAACGAGCGAAACCCUUGUUUCUAGUUACCAGCAGGUUAUGCUGGGUACUCUAGAAAGACUGCCGUCGUCAAGACGGAGGAAGGUGGGGAUGACGUCAAGUCAUCAUGGCCCUUAUGCCCCGGGCUGCACACGUGCUACAAUGGUCGGUA